rnacentral:rRNA from 1 species
AGUGAACGCUGGCGGUAGGCCUAACACAUGCAAGUCGAACGGCAGCACAGUAAGAGCUUGCUCUUACGGGUGGCGAGUGGCGGACGGGUGAGGAAUACAUCGGAAUCUACUUUUUCGUGGGGGAUAACGUAGGGAAACUUACGCUAAUACCGCAUACGACCUACGGCUGAAAGCAGGGGAUCUUCGGACCUUGCGCGAUUGAAUGAGCCGAUGUCGGAUUAGCUAGUUGGCGGGGUAAAGGCCCACCAAGGCGACGAUCCGUAGCUGGUCUGAGAGGAUGAUCAGCCACACUGGAACUGAGACACGGUCCAGACUCCUACGGGAGGCAGCAGUGGGGAAUAUUGGACAAUGGGCGCAAGCCUGAUCCAGCCAUACCGCGUGGGUGAAGAAGGCCUUCGGGUUGUAAAGCCCUUUUGUUGGGAAAGAAAAGCAGCAGGUUAAUACCCCGCUGUUCUUACGGUACCCAAAGAAUAAGCACCGGCUAACUUCGUG